CUGGUAAUUCAGGCGAUCGCUCUUCGGCGUAGGCCGAGGAGAGGAAAGUCCGGACACCCUCCCGCCAUUGGCGGGAUAAAAAGGUAGCGGCUAACAGCCGUCAUCCGCCAACCGGCGGAAGAGGUGCGAACAGAGACGGUCCGACGCGAAAGAGUCGGACGGACCCCAUCCUAACGUAGAAGGUCCAGAUCCGCUAUAGGGAUAAAAAGCGGAUGUGAAACGGCUAAAUCCUUACUGGGCGCAAGGCCGAGCCCGAACAACGCAAGUUGUUUUAGGGAGUGCCGCCAGAGGUCAACAGCAAUGUUGAUCCCAGAUAAAUGAUCGUCUCGAUCCGAUGAUUAAUCGGAUUAGACAGAAUCCGGCUUACGAAUUGCUAGCCGC
rnacentral:RNase_P_RNA from 3 species